rnacentral:lncRNA from 14 species
CUCGGCUCCGAAGCGGGGCGGAGGCCGGGCGCCCGGCCGCGAUCAUGGCCCAGUGCGUGCAGUCGGUGCAGGAGCUCAUCCCCGACUCCUUCGUUCCCUGCGUCGCCGCGCUGUGCAGUGACGAAGCCGAGCGGCUCACUCGCCUCAACCACCUCAGCUUUGCCGAGCUGCUCAAGCCCUUCUCUCGCCUCACUUCCGAAGUUCACAUGAGAGAUCCUAAUAAUCAACUGCAUAUAAUUAAAAAUUUGAAGAUAGCAGUAAGCAACAUUGUCACCCAGCCACCUCAGCCGGGAGCCAUUGGGAAGCUUUUGAAUGAUGUUGUUUCUGGCAGCCAGCCUGCAGAAGGAUUAGUCGCUAAUGUGAUUACAGCAGGAGAUUAUGACCUUAAUAUCAGUGGUAAGUAAUAAGUGUUACUAUUUUUUAAGUGAAAAUUUCUUUUGUUAGGAGAAUAAAUUUCUUUGUCUUAGAAACUUUUCAACCAUGUACUUCAGUGUUUACACAGUGUUAGAGCUGGGCCUACAGAGCAGUUCUGAAAGACUCUCCCAGGAACUUCUGUUUUAUUCUAGCACCCGUGUAAGUAGCCUAGGGUAAUCAAUGUUCCAUGAUAAAACUAAUACCAGAUCACAGGAGUUUGAUUUUUGUAUGACUUGAUUAUUAAAUGAAAAACAUGAUAAACUUUUAAUCUUGCUUGGAAUUAAGUGGAAAUGUUUAUAAAAUAGAUGUAAAUACAUAGUUUAGAUAUCUUACACUGGGCUUAGAUAAUUUUAGAAAUGUUUUCAUGAUAAGACUUAUAAAAUAUUAUAUUAAUAUUAUAGAAUGGAGUUAAUCUUGGAUGGGAUUCUCUUUCAGUGUCCAAAAGUUUUUACUUAUUAAAAAUACAUGAGGAGAAUUCUUAAAAGGAAUAUUAAAAAGUAUGUCAUCUAAUUACAAUCUGUCAGCAGCUUAAAAACUGCCUAAAAAGCAGCCUAAUUUUUUUAAGUUGAUAUAAUUUAUAUUUUGACACUUUUAUACUUACUAGUUAUAUAGUAGAUCUUCCUGUGCCAAUGAGAUGGCUCAGCUAGUAACAUGUUUGCCAUGCAAGCCAGAUAGCUGGAGUGUAUACCCCAGAACUAACUCGUGGGAAUAUGGAAGAGAAGUGCCUUUACAAAGUUGUCCUCUGACCUCUAGGUCAUAGGCACUGGGACACACAUGCAACCCCGCAUGUAUUAUUAUUUAUUAUUUAUUAUUUAUUAUUAUUAUUAUUAUUAUUAUUAUUUCAUUGUUAUUAAUAAUACAAUAAUAUAACUAUUACUAUUCAGAACUUGCUGCCGUAUGCAGAGAAUAGGUUGUAAGUCAGCAUGGUAUUUAUGCCCAGAACUGUCUGUAGAAUUACUGUGUUUCAGUUUGCCGUAUUUUUCUUUACCAUCAGUUUUAAUUGCAGCAAUAUAGAUCAGUCCGAUUAUUUUGUUUUAUCUUUUUUUUAUUUUAUAGUUCUGGGACUUAUCCCAGGGCCUUAAACAUGCUAGUAGUCAUUGAGCCCACCACUGAGCUAUACCAGUCAAAACACCAAUCAAAAGAGUUUGAAUUUUUAGAUGCAGGGUUAAUCAGUUUCUGGCACAAUGUAUUUUAAUGAGAUGCAAAAAUUUGAAUAUUUACUUGAGAAAUGGUAGAAAUUGAGGGGCUUUUUGUUGUUGUUAGUGUUGUAUGAAAGGCAGAGAGUCAGAUGCUACUAUCUUAAGCUUUUAUACUAUAAACCUGAGUUAAUUGGGUAAUUGAGGUAGGCCACUGACUGUUGAUGAAGCUUUGCUUCAUCUCCGAAAACAUGAACUUGACAAGAUUAAUUCUUCCUUCCUCUAUCCCCUUCCUUGUUUGCUCUUUCUCUGUCUGCUCUCCUCACCCCCUCUCUCUCCUUCUCUUCGUCUUUCUUCCAUCCCCUUAUGUGAUCUCCCCUUCUCUGCCUGCCCCCAUUGGUUUUUGUUGUUGUUGUUGUUGUUUUGUUUGGGUUUUUUGUUUGUUUGGUUUUUUUUUUUUUUUUUGGAGACACAGUCUCACUGUGUAGCCCUAGGUGGGUAUGAAGAGAAACCAUGACCAAGGCAACUUAUGAUUAUGAAGGCAGACAUUUGAUUAUAAUGUUAGAGAUUUAGUCCAUGUCAUGUCAGGAAGCAUGGUAGCAUCUAGGCAGACCUGGUGCUGGGGAAGGAGAUGAUAGUUCUGCGCUUUGAUCAGAAGGCAGCUAAAAGGAAGCUCUCUUCUGCAAUGAGUGAAGCCUGAGCAUAGAAGGAGACCUCCAGAGCCCACCCCACAGUGACACAGUUCCUCCAACAAGGCCACACCUCCUAACAGUGCCACUCCCUAUGGGCCAAGCAUAUUCAAACCACCACAAUGUCCUAUAACUCACACAAUUCACCUGCCUCAUCUUCCUGAGCCUCGGAAUUAAAGGUAUGCACCUGUCUUAGCUAGGGUUUCCAUUGCUAUGAAGAGACACCAUGACCAAGGCAACUCUUAUAAAGGACAACAUUUAGUCAGGGCUGGCUUACAGAUUUAGAGGUUUAGUCAUCUGGA